GACGAACGUUGGCGGCGUGCUUAAUACAUGCAAGUCAACUGAAGCAGUGGUAGCAAUAUCGCUGUGGAGGUGGCGCACGGGUGAGUAACACGUAGGUAAUCUGCCUUCAGGUCUGGCAUAACUCCGGGAAACCGGGACUAAUAGCAGAUGAUGCAGCGGCUCGACAUCGAGACAGUUGUUAAAGCUAUGGCGCCUGAAGAUGAGCCUGCGUCUGAUUAGCUAGUUGGCGGGGUAACGGCCCACCAAGGCAACGAUCAGUAGCUGGUCUGAGAGGAUGAUCAGCCACACUGGAACUGAGACACGGUCCAGACUCCUACGGGAGGCAGCAGUAAGGAAUAUUGCUCAAUGGGAGAAAUCCUGAAGCAGCAACGCCGCGUGAGGGACGAAGGGCUUUUGCUUGUAAACCUCUGUAGUGAGAGAAAAAAAUCCCAAUCUUUGGGACAUGAUGGUAUCUCAAAAGUAAGCCCCGGCUAACUACGUG
rnacentral:rRNA from 1 species